rnacentral:rRNA from 1 species
GUAGUCAUAUGCUUGUCUCAAAGAUUAAGCCAUGCAUGUCUAAGUAUAAGCAAUUAUACCGCGAAACUGCGAAUGGCUCAUUAAAUCAGUUAUCGUUUAUUUGAUAGUACCUUACUACAUGGAUAACCGUGGUAAUUCUAGAGCUAAUACAUGCUAAAAAUCCCGACUUCGGAAGGGAUGUAUUUAUUAGAUUAAAAACCAAUGCCCUUCGGGGCUCUCUGGUGAUUCAUAAUAACUUCUCGAAUCGCACGGCCUUGCGCCGGCGAUGGUUCAUUCAAAUUUCUGCCCUAUCAACUUUCGACGGCUGGGUCUUGGCCAGCCGUGGUGACAACGGGUAACGGAGGGUUAGGGCUCGACCCCGGAGAAGGAGCCUGAGAAACGGCUACUACAUCCAAGGAAGGCAGCAGGCGCGCAAAUUACCCAAUCCCGACACGGGGAGGUAGUGACAAUAAAUACUGAUACAGGGCUCUUUCGGGUCUUGUAAUUGGAAUGAGUACAAUUUAAAUCCCUUAACAAGGAACAAUUGGAGGGCAAGUCUGGUGCCAGCAGCC